AUCUAGAAGUAGAGGGCCCGAGGUUAGUUGGCAGAGGUAUUCCGUGAGGAUGCAGAGAAACAAGCAGACUGCUGGCCGCCUGGUGUGGGCAGUCGUCCCUGGAGGAGGGAACCACUGACCGGGAUUCACAGAAAAUCCCUGCCAUGAUAAAGCAUUGACAGAAGAGACUUGUGGAGAAAGGGCCCUUGGCAUACGCUUCUGUUAUUGAGGGAAGUCGGGGCAAGAAUCCAAGCAAAGACCACAGAGUAUUAAUCCUGCCUCCUGGCUUAUUCUCUGAUUCAUUUAUUGGGUUGUGCUCAGCUAGCUUUUGUACAAAGCCUACAUCUGACUGCCACAGAGGGCUAGGCCCCCAACACCAACCAUCAGCCACGACAUCCUCUUAUUGAUCUAGGCAGUAGAGGUUCCUUCUUCCCAAGUGACUACAGGUUGUGUCUCAUUAACAAAACCAACCAGGAUAGAACCCAAUGUUUGGUUAUGUAAAUAAGGAAAAACACGGAAAGAAAGAAAAGGUUUAUCUUCCAGUUUGGAGAGCACUGAGGGCUGGCUAGCUUAGUGUUUGUUUUUAGGAGGUAAGGAGGAGAGGGGAGUGUUCUCCAUGCCUAAGUUCUGGCCUACUCAUAAACUUUGGCUGUAAUGAUAAUAUGGGUGUAUUGGUUUGAGCCCUUCCAGCUGUUUGAGGGCCUUUCUGGUCACUUGUGUUACAAGUAAUUUCCAGAGAUUCUGCCAUCAGCUUUGAGAAAUCGCCUCUCAAUAAAAAAAGUGACUUUCUCUCAAGAAAGAAAGGAAAGGAAAGGAAGGAGAUGUUUACAGAAACAUUGGGGGAGGGUGCUAAUUCAAAGCCCAUUGGCUUAAAUGAAUCUUAUCAUGUCUUUGUUUAUGAGGCCCAAUUGUAUACACUGUGGCUGCUGGGCUCACCAGUGCAGAAGUGCAAAGGCCACAUGAAAAGGUGUUUUCACCAUUUUUAAGGUGAAUUUUCACAGUCGUUUCCAAUAUAACUUGGCAAAGCUGCCUCUAGCACAGGGCUGAACGUUUACUCACUCCUCCUCAGUUCUCUGGCAUCUAUUACAUGCAGGGUACUGAGAAGCUAAAAGAGGAAGGAAGUCCUACCCUUGGGAGCCUGGUCUGGGGUAUCAGAACCCUUCACCCUCACCAGACAGGCAGCUGCACUCAGGGUAUGGAUGUAGACUCAGACACCUUCGUUUAUUUCCUUCUUUCUCACGCUGCCGAGAGAGUGUGUGCCCUUGGCUCUGUGUGUCUGCCUCAGGUGUGGUGGGACAGGAUGUAGCAAGUGUUCAGUAGCUUCUGCUAAGUGUCAAAGCCCUCUUCUGGAGGAUGCUCAAAGAGCCCACAGAAGCCAGGCAAGCGCACCAUCCUCUAUGGUGAUGGAUGAUUCUGCCGCCUGUAGCCGCUGCCUUCCUUCCUCCUGCUCGCUGUUGCUGUUAGCAGUGCCACCCCUAGCGGCUUCAAGUCUCCAGCCAGCCUAGGGAUUGUGUGGCUGCGGCUGUCUGUAUCCAAUCGUCCCUCGUCAUCUGUGGGUUCUGGCUGAAUUCUGUAUUGGAGCAAUUCCUACUCGGACCCCGGGAAAAGUGAGGCUCUCUGCUUGGAAAGAAAUGGAAAGGGUUUUCCUCUGUACACAAACUACAAAGAUCUUUCCCGGGAAUGAAGCGGACUCUGCCAUUGCUGUUGGGGUUGAUGAAGCGUUUCUCCAGGGUUUUGAUUCUGUCUGUACACUGGGAGAACUGUUGGACAAGAAGCACACGUCAGCUUUAACGUGACUCUUCGGAUGGUGUGGGCAGGAGCUUCGGCUCAUCGGUGGAGCUACACAGAUGCUGUGUGGGACGGACCCUGCACGGGAAGGCAGCGUCUGUCUGCAUGUCUGUCUGUCUGUCUGUCUCGCUAGAGAGAAGGCUGAAUCCCUAAAUGUGUGUGCUGUUCAUGGGAUGCUGUGUGGCUAAGGGCUCAGAGUGGUCCUUGCUGCCCCGCUACGGGUGUUUCAGAGACAGGGGCAGCGGACAGGCAACGAGCUGGAUGCCGGUGUUGGCGGUGGCCUUAAUGAUGUCCCACAGAAAGAAGUUAAUCCAGCAUAUGCUCUGUGAACAACAGUCUCAGUCAUGUGUGUCCUCUUUGCUGAGGAGACUCUGAAUAGAUUACAGCCAUGA